GGAAGGCUCUUAGGGGACACUUUUGUGUCCGAGCCUCGACUUGAGAUCCUCGGGGAAACGUAAACGUACUUGCCUUUGGACCAGGAGUCCCUGAGGAUCUGUUGAUUCCAAAAUAAGCAAUCCCAAGUUUUUUGGUUUGCUUUUAGACAUGAAUAGCAGACCAGAUGGCUUUGAAAAUAGAAUUAUUUAAAAUGCCGGGGACAAGAGGAGGGG